GAGUGAACGCUGGCGGUAGGCCUAACACAUGCAAGUCGAACGGCAGCACAGUAAGAGCUUGCUCUUACGGGUGGCGAGUGGCGGACGGGUGAGGAAUACAUCGGAAUCUACUUUUUCGUGGGGGAUAACGUAGGGAAACUUACGCUAAUACCGCAUACGACCUACGGGUGAAAGCAGGGGAUCUUCGGACCUUGCGCGAUCGAAUGAGCCGAUGUCGGAUUAUCUAGUUGGCGGGGUAAAGGCCCACCAAGGCGACGAUCCGUAGCUGGUCUGAGAGGAUGAUCAGCCACACUGGAACUGAGACACGGUCCAGACUCCUACGGGAGGCAGCAGUGGGGAAUAUUGGACAAUGGGCGCAAGCCUGAUCCAGCCAUACCGCGUGGGUGAAGAAGGCCUUCGGGUUGUAAAGCCCUUUUGUUGGGAAAGAAAAGCAGCAGGUUAAUACCCCGCUGUUCUGACGGUACCCAAAGAAUAAGCACCGGCUAACUUCGUG
rnacentral:rRNA from 1 species